UCCGUAGGUGAACCUGCGGAAGGAUCAUUAUCGAAGAACAGAGUGCGCUUCGUUGCGGCUCGACUUCAUUAUCCACACACUGUGAACUGUAACACCUUUUUAUCAGACCCUUUUAGUCGAAGAAUGUAGCCUCUUGUAAAGUAAAUAUAACUUUCAACAACGGAUCUCUUGGCUCUUGCAACGAUGAAGAACGCAGCGAAAUGCGAUAAGUAAUGUGAAUUGCAGAAUUCAGUGAAUCAUCGAAUCUUUGAACGCACCUUGCGCCUUUUGGCAUUCCGAAAGGCACACCUGUUUGAGUGUCGUGUAACCCUCAACCUCACCCUUUGAAGGGCUGCAGGCUUGGAUGUUGAGUGUUGCUGCGGUAUGCAGCUCACUUUAAAUGCAUGAGCAUUCCCUUUACUGCUCGGAUCGACUCGGCGUAAUAACAUGUCCGUUGAGGAUGCCUAUCCGGCGGCCGGAAAGUAAGGGUGGCUACUAAUGGCUCUAGCGCGUUUGUACUUUAGACCUCAGAUCAGGUGGGACUACCCGCUGAACUUAAGCAUAUC
rnacentral:rRNA from 1 species